UACGUAGGUCCCAAGCGUUGUCCGGAUUUAUUGGGCGUAAAGCGAGCGCAGGUGGUUUAUUAAGUCUGGUGUAAAAGGCAGUGGCUCAACCAUUGUAUGCAUUGGAAACUGGUAGACUUGAGUGCAGAAGAGGAGAGUGGAAUUCCAUGUGUAGCGGUGAAAUGCGUAGAUAUAUGGAGGAACACCGGUGGCGAAAGCGGCUCUCUGGCCCGUAACUGACACUGAGGCUCGAAAGCGUGGGGAGCAAACAGG
rnacentral:rRNA from 1 species